rnacentral:rRNA from 1 species
GCGACAUGGGCGCAGCUGAUGCAGCCAUGCCGCGUGAGUGAUGAAGGCCUUCGGGUUGUAAAGCUCUUUUUUUGGGAAGAAAAGCUGGGUAUUAAUACCCUUGACCGCUGACAUUUCCUUUACAAGAAGCCCCGGCUUACUCCGUGCCCGCCGCCGCGAUAAUUA